GACGAACGCUGGCGGCGUGCUUAACACAUGCAAGUCGUACGGUAAGGCCCUUUCGGGGGUACACGAGUGGCGAACGGGUGAGUAACACGUGAGUAACCUGCCCACAACUUUGGGAUAACGCUAGGAAACUGGUGCUAAUACUGGAUAUGUGCUCCUGCUGCAUGGUGGGGGUUGGAAAGCUCCGGCGGUUGUGGAUGGACUCGCGGCCUAUCAGCUUGUUGGUGGGGUAGUGGCCUACCAAGGCGGUGACGGGUAGCCGGCCUGAGAGGGUGACCGGCCACAUUGGGACUGAGAUACGGCCCAGACUCCUACGGGAGGCAGCAGGGGGGAAUAUUGCACAAGGGGCGCAAGCCUGAUGCAGCAACGCCGCGGGCGGGAUGACGGCCUUCGGGUUGUAAACCGCUUUCAGCAGGGACGAAGCUUUUUGUGACGGUACCUGCAGAAGAAGCACCGGCUAACUACGUG
rnacentral:rRNA from 1 species